AGUCUUCUCCUUUCCACUUAUAAAUAAUCAGGGGAUCCCACGCCAUAUUUGCUGUCAAAAAACUUGUGUCCAAAUUUCUACGUAACCUUAAGCUGACCCCAUCUCCACCUUCAAUCUGGUAAGCUUUCUUUUUCUCAGAAAGCCUGGGUUUUGAUUUUUUGUUUUUUUUAAAUGAUUCGAUCUUUCUUUUAAUAAUUUUGCAUGUGUUUAUGUUUUGUUUCCAGGUUCUUGUUCAGAGCAAUUUAUUGUUAGAUCUUUGUUUGGCUGUUCCAGAAUCGAGAAUGAGUCAUAUCCUUACGAUAUGUUCCUUUUCUCUGAUUUAAGAUCACGCUAAUAUCGAUCCAAUUCUUUGUUUUGAUGAACAAGAUUCUCUUAUCUUCUACUCCCUCUCCCUCUGUUCCAGUUUAUGUGAACCUAUUUCCUUUUUGGUCCGUUCCAAAAAGAAUGAACCCUUUCUAAAUUUGGUAACAAUUUAGCUUAAAGUUGCGUAACUUUAAGCUUUUAUAACCACACAAAUACUCCAUUUGGACUUGUUUAGAAUCACAAGUUCCAAACGGAGGGAGUAUUCGAUUGCCGAGAAAUUGAGAAAAAAUAUCCAAAAUUAAAGAUUUUUUAUUUAAUUUUGUUGGGGUAAUCUAUUAAAUUGGGAAUCCCCUUUCGAGAUAUAUCCUCAAUUGGCUCGGUAUCCAAAGAAUUGGUUUAGUUAGGACCUAAAGAUUGAAUUUUUGUGGCUCAAAGAAUGGCAUUUUUGUUUCUGAUUGUUGUCUGUUUUUGACUUAACUCAAGCUAACGCGGAAAUCAGAGAGAUAGAGAUCGUGAAAGGGCACAAGCCAGGGCAGGUAGCAAACCCAAACAGCCCAAAGGUGAUGGAUUGACCCCUGAACAAAGACGAGAAAGGUUCUUUCUUUCCUCCUAAACAACCCUC
rnacentral:lncRNA from 1 species